UUAAUUGUUUACCAUAGUAACGCUUACUGUGUUCGAUCACGCUUAGGGUUUGUUUACAUACGAAAUCCGCCAUUAUUGGAUUACGUCAUUUUAAAUUUAUGAUCGCGCUGAAAUCGGAGAAUGGUGUAUUGUAUGCUACCUAAGUUAAAUGAAGAAGUUUUGAAUUUGGGAGCCCUUUCAGAUAUUGAAAGGAUUGGAAAUGCUGGAAAGAGGUAUUUUGGCCACAUGUGCCAUGUUGUUGUCUCAAACCAAACCUUUAUCCUGCCUAUGCAAGAGACAAUAAAUUCAUUGCUUAAAAGAUAAGAUAUUUUUAUGUCACCUUGGUACCUAUGUUGAAUAUUCUUCUGACAUCAGAAAUCACCAUCAAUACACAGAAGAUUCGUUAUGAAUCCUUAUAAUAUUGGAAAACUGUAAACAAUGGAUAUAUAUCUGGUAUAAUCCAAAAAGUUGCUUUUCAUAAGAGGAACUAAAAAGGUGAAAAGAAUCAAUGAAAAUAACUUGUAUUGAUAGAAAUGAUUUUCACAAAAAACAAUGCAGAUCGAAACAAGAAUUGCAUGUUAAAGAACGUUCUGUUACAGCCUGUAAACUAAUGAAAAUGUCAUGUUUACUUGUGAUUAUGAGUAGGAUUUGUAUAUAUGUUGCUUUUUAUAUGAGAAUCUUCAGAAUUGGCCUAUAGUUACUUUCUUAAAGAUUUUACAGUGUUAAAAUAUUUUUCAAACAUAGUUGACUGUGACAUGUGAGGAUAAAUAAUAUACAGACAUGUUAAAUGUUUUGAUGAUAUUUUUCUGAUUUCUAACUCUUUUCUGGCUUAAUAAACUGGCUUACUUUUGUGGGAAUUUUAUAACAAUAAAAUGAAUGCUUAAAAAAAAAUUAGUGCAAAACUACACCAGUAAACCUAUAAUACUAAAUUGUCUUGUAAUGUACUUUUUUGUUGUAUUGUUAGUUAUUAGACUUGUUGCAUAUUAUGAAAUAAAGCAACUCCUCUACUUAUUACUUGUACUCGUAUUAUGUGCAUGAAACGUAAAAAGAUGAUACUUAAUGCCAGUAUGUCAUUCAAAGAAACUAUGGAAAUGCUAACCCUGUUUCGAAAUUUGCUAAAAGGACGCGUUUUCCAUCCGCAUGUUUUAGCGAGGAUACAAGUGUUAAACUACGGAGGUUGCUUUUAUUUAUUGGGCUAUAAAGACACUUUCGUUUCUAAUCUAGGAAGGAUUUUUAACAAAUAUAAACCUUACAUUUGGGAAAA